rnacentral:rRNA from 1 species
GAUGAACGCUGACAGAAUGCUUAACACAUGCAAGUCGAACGAGCGAGAUCCAGCUUGCUGGAUUUAGCGAGUGGCGAACGGGUGAGUAAUACGUAAGCAACCUGCCUACACGGACUGGGAUAACACCUGGAAACGGGCGCUAAUACCGGAUAGGUAAUGAGAAGGCAUCUUCUUAUUAUUAAAGGUUUGAAACACAAGUAGAUGGGCUUACGGUGCAUUAGCUAGUUGGUGAGGUAACGGCCCACCAAGGCGAUGAUGCAUAGCCGGCCUGAGAGGGUGAACGGCCACAUUGGGACUGAGACACGGCCCAG